rnacentral:rRNA from 1 species
AGUGAACGCUGGCGGUAGGCCUAACACAUGCAAGUCGAACGGCAGCACAGUAAGAGCUUGCUCUUACGGGUGGCGAGUGGCGGACGGGUGAGGAAUACAUCGGAAUCUACUCUUUCGUGGGGGAUAACGUAGGGAAACUUACGCUAAUACCGCAUACGACCUACGGGUGAAAGUAGGGGAUCUUCGGACCUUGCGCGAUUGAAUGAGCCGAUGUCGGAUUAGCUAGUUGGCGGGGUAAAGGCCCACCAAGGCGACGAUCCGUAGCUGGUCUGAGAGGAUGAUCAGCCACACUGGAACUAAGACACGGUCCAGACUCCUACGGGAGGCAGCAGUGGGGAAUAUUGGACAAUGGGCGCAAGCCUGAUCCAGCCAUACCGCGUGGGUGAAGAAGGCCUUCGGGUUGUAAAGCCCUUUUGUUGGGAAAGAAAAGCAGCAGGUUAAGACCCCGCUGUUCUGACGGUACCCAAAGAAUAAGCACCGGCUAACUUCGU